UACGUAGGGUGCAAGCGUUAUCCGGAAUUAUUGGGCGUAAAGAGCUCGUAGGCGGUUUGUCGCGUCUGCUGUGAAAACGCGAGGCUCAACCUCGCGCCUGCAGUGGGUACGGGCAGACUAGAGUGCGGUAGGGGAGAUUGGAAUUCCUGGUGUAGCGGUGGAAUGCGCAGAUAUCAGGAGGAACACCGAUGGCGAAGGCAGAUCUCUGGGCCGUUACUGACGCUGAGGAGCGAAAGCGUGGGGAGCGAACAGG
rnacentral:rRNA from 1 species